AUUGAACGCUGGCGGCAGGCCUAACACAUGCAAGUCGAACGAGUGGCGGACGGGUGAGUAAUGUCUGGGAAACUGACUGAUGGAGGGGGAUAACUACUGGAAACGGUAGCUAAUACCGCAUACCAUCGGAUGUGCCCAGAUGGGAUUAGCUAGUAGGUGGGGUAACGGCUCACCUAGGCGUCGGUCCCUAGCUGGUCUGAGAGGAUGACCAGCCACCCUGGGACUGAGACACGGUCCAGACUCCUACGGGAGGCAGCAGUGGGGAAUAUUUCACAAUGGGAGAAAGCCUGAUGGAGCCAUGCCGGGUGUAUGAAGAAGGCCUUCGGGUUGUAAAGUACUUUCAGCAGGGAGGCGUUACCCGCAGAAUAAGCACCGGCUAACUCCGUGCCAGCAGCCGCGGUAAUUC
rnacentral:rRNA from 1 species